rnacentral:rRNA from 1 species
CCUACGGGAGGCAGCAGUGGGGAAUAUUGCACAAUGGGGGAAACCCUGAUGCAGCGACGCCGCGUGAGUGAAGAAGUAUUUCGGUAUGUAAAGCUCUAUCAGCAGGGAAGAAAAUGACGGCACGUGAUUAAUAAGCUACGGCUAACUACGUGCAAGCAGCCGCGGUAAUACGUAGGGGGCAAGCGUUAUCCGGAUUUACUGGGUGUAAAGGGAGCGUAGACGGCAGGACAAGUCUGGAGUGAAAUGCCGGGGCUUAACCCCGGAACUGCUAUGGAAACUGUGCAGCUAGAGUGCAGGUGAGGUAAGUGGAAUUCCUAGUGUAGCGGUGAAAUGCGUAGAUAUUAGGAGGAACACCAGUGGCGAAGGCAGCUUACUAGACUGUAACUGACGUUGAGGCUCGAAAGCGUGGGGAGCAAACAGGAUUAGAUACCCUUGUAGUC